UUCCGCUCUCCAGCUCCGUGCGAGGUGUUAAUACUCGGUGCGGCGUUUCAAUGAGCGAAUAGCAACGGGUUAGACGAUUAUUGGCACCUCUCUGUGGGCUGUCGAUCACUCAACUACUCGCACAUUC
rnacentral:snoRNA from 1 species